AGAGCACAGCCAGCAAGCGAUGGCGACCGCCGAAUCCUUCAAUCGCUCCUCGGCGCUGAAGCAGUUCGACGAGACCAAAGCCGGCGUCCGAGGACUCAUCGAAUCCGGCAUCAAUACUCUCCCCGCAAUCUUCCGCCUCCCGGCCCCACUCUCCUCCGCCGCUCCCGUUGCCGCCGCACUCUCCAUCCCCACCGUCGAUCUCUCCCUCCCUUCCGCUGGCGCCCUUGUCUGCGCCGCCGCCCGCGACUGGGGCUUCUUCCAGAUCACAAACCACGGCAUCCCCCUCUCUGCCAUCGCUGCCACCUUCUCCGCCGGCCGAUCGUUCCACGAGCUCCCCGCCGAAGAUCGUUCCCACUACUACACACGAGGACCCGCAGGCGGCGUCUCCUACAUCUCCAACAUCGAUCUGUUCCGGUCGAAAACGGCGAGCUGGCGCGAUACACUCCAGAUAUCAAUGGGCCCAAAUCCGGCUGAACCGGACCGGAUUCCAGCAAUCUGCCGGGCAGAGCUGCUAGCAUGGGACGAGCACGUUGUAGCCAUCGGCCGUCGACUGCUGCGGAUGUUGUCCGAGGGAAUGGGGGCGGAUCAACAGCGGCUGGAGGAGCUGACAUGUCUUGAAGGGAGGGCGAUGGUGUGCCAUUACUACCCACCCUCCCCAGAACCAGACCUGACGGUGGGGCUCGCUGAUCACUCCGAUCCGGGUGUACUGACGGUGCUGGUGCAAGAUCAGAUCGGUGGCCUACAAGUCAAGCGGACGGCUGAGGAUGGGGAAAUCUCGUGGGUGGAUGUGAAGCCUGUAGAAGGGGCAAUUGUGAUCAACGUCGGCGAUCUCCUUCAGAUAAUUUCUAACGACAAAUACAAGAGCGUGCAUCACCGAGUCGUGGCCAAUUCUUGUGAGGAACCGAGGAUUUCAAUUGCCACCUUCUUUAACCCUGGAAAGCGGGGAGAAUCUGUGCUCUAUGGCCCUCUGCCUGAGCUGGUAUCACCUGAAAAUCCAGCCCACUAUCGAAAUUUUACGAUGGCGGAGUUCUUGGGGACCUUCUUCAGUAAGGAACUGGCUAGCGAAUCUCUUUUGGGCCAUUUUAAAAUAGUGGGAGAAACAACAGAAACAA
rnacentral:misc_RNA from 1 species